GUAGAAUAUCAGUAAUGUUGGCUUUUCCAGCCUUGCCGAGUGCCGCAUAACCAGCUUGUUCCGAUAAAUACAAUGCCUUCAAAUAAUUGUCCUGCAAUUGAACGAUGGGUGAGGUGGCAGUUGCUCCUUAGUUUGGGGUUAGCUCAGAGCUCUGCCUCUGUCCACCCUUUCUUUCUUCAAAUUGUUAAUAAAGCUUGAUUUUGCUGCACCUUUGGGUCUCCC
rnacentral:misc_RNA from 1 species